CUCUUCAACUGCCUGUUCUGCCACCUGAUCCGCCAUCUUAUCUCCAGUUUCCUGUACAGUGCUACCUUUCUGAUGUCCUUUACAGAGUAUAAUAGCCAUGCUCUUUGGUAAAGAGACAGACAUAUCACAUCUCAGAAAUGGCUUUACUUCAGUGGCCUUAAAUGGUCCCUCUGUGAUCAUUAUUUUCUUAUUGAAUCGCUGUCAGACACAGCUGGUGGAUUUUUGUACGUGCAGUUUGGAGUUCCUGGCUAAAAUGAACCACAUGAAUACAGAUUACGGAUAUUCUUAUCUCAGCACACUUUUGAGAUGGAGCAUUCAAAUUACAAGACCUUCAGUCUGCUGUUUUAAUCUGACCAG
rnacentral:lncRNA from 1 species